GCCAGUGUGGUGUAGUGGUUAGAGUUCUGGACUAGGACCUGGGAGACCAGGGUUCAAAUCCCUGCUCAGCCA
rnacentral:tRNA from 1 species